GACAGCAGCCGCCGCGGGAAUACGAAGGGUGCAAGCGUUAAUCGGAAUUACUGGGCGUAAAGCGUGCGUAGGCGGUGAGUUAAGUCCGUUGUGAAAGCCCUGGGCUCAACCUGGGAAUUGCAGUGGAUACUGGGUCACUAGAGUGUGGUAGAGGAUAGUGGAAUUUCCGAUGUAGCGGUGAAAUGCGUAGAGAUCGGGAGGAACAUCAGUGGCGAAGGCGGCCAUCUGGGACAACACUGACGCUGAGGCACGAAAGCGUGGGGAGCAAACAGGAUUAGAUACCCCAGUAGUCCCUGUCUCUUAUAC
rnacentral:rRNA from 1 species